rnacentral:sRNA from 1 species
UAUUAUACGGGUAACAUGUUGGGUUUGUU